UCUAUGCAGUGGUCUGCUGGGGAGCAGGGAGCACAGACAGGGACAGGAAAAGACUUACAUUCUCACUCACAGAAGUAAACGGAAACUCAAAACACUCAUUACUAAAAUAUAUGUAGCGGUGUAGUUCAUUCAUUUAAAUAGAAUUUUCCACUGGUGUGAGAUAGUUCUCAAAUUUGUCAAAUGUGUUCUUUGUUUUCUUUUGAGUGUAAUAUUGUUGUGAAAUAAGUAAAAUGCGAAGUAGAUUUGAAGUGAGCUGCGCAGUAACAUGUUAUUGCAGAUUUUGGUCACAAGGUGGCAAUAUUGACUCAUGCAAACAAAGGUCGGAUUUCCAGGGCCCUCAAGAAGAUGGAGAGCCAGUGUGUCUGCCAAAGGUGCGCUCUAUAAUGCUCCUCGCUCUGGUGUGAUGCCUUUUGUACUGUGCUUCAACUUGGCCUACUGGUCCAUAGAGGAGAGGUAGACUGUAGAGGAUGAUGAUCACCAGAUUCAGCACCACACAAAAAAUCCCAGCACCCACUGAGCUGGUAAAGGUGAUGGGUAAAGAGUGCUCAAGGAGCCAGGGACGCCGUGUCAUCAUGUCCUGCUCAAUGGCUUUCAUCUGGAAGUGGGUGCCAAGGAUGCUGCACACGUGGAAGAGCUGAUGGCUGUGACCUGCAGAGGGAGCAGUAGAGUCGUGUUUGAGCUCAGGCUGCACAGUGACUUGAUACAAUAGAACAAGUAAAGCCUUAACCAUGUGCAAA